rnacentral:rRNA from 1 species
UACGAAGGGGGCUAGCGUUGCUCGGAAUCACUGGGCGUAAAGGGCGCGUAGGCGGACUCUUAAGUCGGGGGUGAAAGCCCAGGGCUCAACCCUGGAAUUGCCUUCGAUACUGAGAGUCUUGAGUUCGGAAGAGGUUGGUGGAACUGCGAGUGUAGAGGUGAAAUUCGUAGAUAUUCGCAAGAACACCAGUGGCGAAGGCGGCUCACUGGCCCAUUACUGACGCUGAGGAGCGAAAGCGUGGGGAGCAAACAGG